rnacentral:rRNA from 1 species
UACGUAGGCAGCGAGCGUUGUUCGGAGUUACUGGGCGUAAAGGGUGCGUAGGCGGUUGUUUAAGUUUGGUGUGAAAUCUCCCGGCUCAACUGGGAGGGUGCGCCGAAUACUGAAUGACUAGAGUGCGGGAGAGGAUAGUGGAAUUCCUGGUGUAGCGGUGAAAUGCGUAGAUAUCAGGAAGAACACCCGUGGCGAAGGCGGCUCUCUGGGACGGUACUGACGCUGAGACGCGAAAGCGUGGGGAGCGAACAGG